AAUUCUUCUAAUCUUGGAGUUGAGGGUAUAAACCCUGACGAUGAGAUUUUUCCAGUUACUUAUUGCUGUCAUAUUUUGCAAAUAUAUUGUGUGCUGGAGGAUGACUGCAAUUCUUUGCCUUAAUGUUGGUGGUGCUGGUGUAGAGGGCAGGGUUGAGUAUCUGAGGCCCAGCUGGUCUAGUGGGCUUUGCUUAGGUUACUGUUGUUGUCUGGUUUAUCUCUCGACAUAUGUGGCAGUCGUUUGUGGACCGGACUAAUUGGGGAAGACAAAGGCAUAAAAUCUUCACCAACAAAAAGAGAAAACAUUUUGUCUGGAUAUAAAUCAACUUAAGUUUAUACUUCGGUUAGAGUUGUAAUUUUGUAAUAGUUGUAGCACAGGUCUUAGAUGGUUAUCUAAUUGGUGACAAACUUUGUCCAUUACAGAUCCCUGAAGAGGGUAAAACCUUGGUCCUCAUGAUCGCUUGAUUCAUGUUCACCAUUUUAUGAAGGACGUAACUCAAAGUGGAGCACAUGUACAGAACUUUGGGAAGCCCUUUUCCUGGUUAUUCAUGAGGAUGAGACAUUGACGGAAGUUAAAGCGCGUAUUCAGAAAAGAUUGCAGGUCCCCAGAUGAGGAGUUUUCAAAGUAUGCAGCAGAAGUUUGUGUUUCGUCCAUGGGCCGUCCUGACUAUAUUGUUCAUUCUCUUUCAGAUUUGUGGCGGCAGAUCUAUUCGUAAAAGGAGUUGCUAUCGCUCAUCCGACUGGAUGUCACUGAUGGAUGGAUAGGCAUAGCAAAAAAAAGAGUCAAUUACAAGAGUAAGGCGGAGGAAAAAAGGAUGAUGCACUCCUUUCUUAUUUUCUUUUUCAUUCUCUGGAGUGAGUGAAGACAAGCUAGCCUCGACAAAAUGGAACACAUCUAUUAGGACGAGAAUGUGAGUUCUUCUUAUUGUCGGUGAGCCUCUACCCCUCGUACUCUUCUUUCCAUCUUUUUCUCCGCCUUAACGACAAAAUAUUUGAUUGAUCAAAUUCUCUUGAUUCUGACUCAUACUGAUCAUAUAUCAAAGAAUGGCUUUGGUUAUCAAAUGAUUAAACAACGGGAGCAAUUCACUUAUACUUUACUUAGUUGACAUUCAUAAAAAGCAUCUAAUGAAUUCUGAGUUCAAUCCAUCUUGUUUAGAAAUUAACCAAACCGAUCUAGGAUACCGUGGCAAAUGGUAAUUUUUGGCCGUUAAAUCCUCUAAUAUAAGUGUUCAUGUUUCAAACAUUAUUUUAGCUGUGAGAUAGAAGAGUGGAUCCAAAUAUUGUACCAUGUGACUUGCUGUGGGACUUCAACAGGUACCUUAAGUUCCUCUGAGCUUUAAGAUGAGGUUCCUCAGGAAUGUCAACACAUACCAAGGAAAUAUUACUAUCGUCAAGAGAGUCGCAUUCAAACUGUAGUAUUACGAGUUGAAUUCUAAUGCUUCAUAGCAUUGCUGCCCAGUUGUAUGGGAACACGCGCUCGCACAGAGAGAGAGAGAGAGAGAGAGAGAGAGAGAGAGAGAGAGAGACUAAUGUGUAGCAACUCCAGACGUGAUUGUGGUCCAAAUUUCAGUAUAUUUAUAGCCUUGUCCCCCUUACAAUAUGAGAACAAGAAGGUCCACUAUUUAGUUUGAUACUUUGUGAAUGUAUAUUUUCAUUUAUCUUUUAGAAAAUUUAGAUUAGUUUUAUUUACAUGUAUCCAGAGAUGAAAUUAAUAUUUAGAGUUAGUGGAUUUAAAUACA